GAUGAACGCUAGCGGCAGGCUUAAUACAUGCAAGUUGAGGGGCAGCAUGAUAUACGCGAGUAUAUUGAUGGCGACCGGCGGACGGGUGAGUAAUAGGUAGGAGACCUACCUCAUACAGGGGGAUAGCAUAGAGAAAUCUGUGGUAAUACCCCAUGAGGUUAUAUGAAUAGAGGCAUAUAAUCAAAGCAUAAGCGAUUAUGCGGUAUGAGAGGGGCCUACUGACCAUUAGCUAGUUGGUGAGGUAAGGGCUCACCAAGGCGAAGAUGGUUAGGGGUUUUGAGAGAGAGACCCCCCACAUUGGAACUGAGAGACGGUCCAGACUCCUACGGGAGGCAGCAGUAGGGAAUAUUGGGCAAUGGGCGAAAGCCUGACCCAGCCAUGCCGCGUGAAGGAAGACGGCCUUAUGGGUUGUAAACUUCUUUACUACGCGAAUAGAGGUUAGUACGAGAUACUAAUAGGAAGGUAGUGUAGUAAAAAGCAACCGGCUAACUCCGUG
rnacentral:rRNA from 1 species